rnacentral:lncRNA from 1 species
GUAAGCCCCCAAACUCUAUGAGUCUCGAUUUCCAACCUGUUAAACAGAGUCCAAUAAUUGGGUCUUUUUGCAAAACUUUUCAUAAACUCGGUUAAGUUGGUACAACUAUUUCACUCCUACUAACUGGCGGCUCUGUAGAAAAUCAAUAUUUUCAAAUCGUCGACAUUUCAUGUCGGUCUCUUUUGUCAAUUUCACUCUUUCUAACCAAAUUCGAACCACAUAGAAAACAUAAAGGGUAAGAAAUUUUUAAAUGAGAAAUUUUGAAAAAGAAAAAAAAUUCCCGACGUCUACAGCCUUUAUUUUUUCUUUGACUAACUUCUCUGAUAUAUCCUAAUCCUUUUUUGUUAAAUCUACAUCUUUGUUUAUUAAGCAUGACGUCAAGGUUUUCUUUCCCUUUUGUGAACUUAAGAACUAUGGUAUUUAAAUCGUCACGUUCUUUAGUUAAAAUAUUAAUUUGAUUUAUUAAAGAAGAAUCUUCAUUUUGUUUUCUAACUCUAUUUUUAGAGAUGAAUUUUCAAGCUUGUGAUUUUUAAUAUCUUCACUUAACACUUGAUUUUCUAACUCUAUCAUCCUACUGAUCAAAAGUUAUUUAUUGUGAAACAUGUUGCCUUCUUGGAAAAUGAGUUUAUCCUUGAAGGGGUCAGUGGGAGUAAUGUAAGACCCCAACUUUUUAUGAAUAAAGAUUUAAUUUUCUCUAAAUAUUAUUCUAAAUAGUAAAGUGAUAAUUUAAUAAAUGUUGUAGUUAUGGGUGAUAUGUGUAAAUUUUAUAAAGUAAGCAAGUUGUCAUAAAAUAUUCGUUUGGUCGAGGAAUAUUCUUUUUGUCAAGGAAUAUUUGUACGACGAUGCAAUUAUUGGUGGACCCCAUAAUGGAAUAACUGUCGAUUAUAGAAAGCAACAGAAAUAACUUUUUUAUAAAAUAACUGCAAAACUUUUACCAUUACACUGUUGAAAUACCCGAUGAUAAAAGUACAGUAAUAUGCGUUAAUCCACAAUGGUACGCAAUAUUGCACAAUAUCACACAUUAUUGCACAGUAUGUCUGAUUAUUGAUUCUUACAUAAGAAGUCACUCACUCAAUAAUUGUCACAGUAGUUAUUGUUUAGUAUCUUAUAUUAUGGAUUCAAUAAUUAUCACAGGAAUAACUAAAUAGUAUUUCAUAUUAUUAAAUCAAUAAUUGACACGACACAGUUACUCAUAUUAUUAUUAACAUUAUUGGCAAUAUCUAGAAAGUUAUGUCAAGAAAAGAGGUUAGGUUAUUUAAUUGCGCGCCUGUAAGGAGAAAUCCUUAUCAGAAAGCCUCUUCUUUCCUGGGAACGAUCUGGUUGUCAAUAUUGAGAGUUAUAAUAUUAAUGAUGAAUAAUUAUUGAAAGAUUAAAAAUGUGUUGAUUGAAGAUAAGUGAUUUGUGAUAAAUAUUUAUUAAAUUUUUGAUAUAAAUAGAGGGGUUUGUCAUGAGGCAUUUGUUGUAAGUUUGACUCAUUAUUUUAUGGACCCCAAUGUGCCAAUUUAUUAAAUCAUCGGUAGAAAGUUAUCUCAAUUUUGUUUUAUUAUUAUUAUAAUAGUAAUAAAACAGAAAACUUUUUAUAAUAUAUAUAAAGUUAUUUGUUUUAUUAGAUUAUAAUUAGAAUAUAUUAUAUUAUAAAUAAUUUUAUUUGUUUUACUUGAAUAUUAUAUUCUUAUUUUUGAAAAUCAGACGUCCGUGAAUUUGCAUAAGUUCGUCCGUGAAUCUUUCAAAUUAUUUUGUUCGUGAGUUUUCUAAAUAGUGGUAUGUUGUCAUUCUUCUAUAAAUAGGUUGUUUAGUUACGAAAUGAAAAUCACACCAAAAUCAGAGAAUUCUUCUUCUAUGAUAUUGUGCGUAUUUCUUUUGAGUAUAAGGAUACUUUGAGUGUAGCAAAUAGUGCAAGAUUUCCUCAAGAUAAUCUUCGUUAUACCAGUCAGAUUUAGUCUCCUACUAAGGUAAAAGAUGUUAUUUUCUUCACACUCAUAAGGNNNNNNNNNNNNNNNNNNNNNNNNNNNNNNNNNNNNNNNNNNNNNNNNNNNNNNNNNNNNNNNNNNNNNNNNNNNNNNNNNNNNNNNNNNNNNNNNNNNNUAAUAGUAAAUCAAUAUGAACCGUCCGUGAAUCAGUUACUAUUUAGUUCAUUCUCCUAUAAAUAAGUUGUUUAGUUAAGCAAUGAAACUCACACCAGAAUCAGAAAAUUCUUCUUCUAUAAUAUUGUGCAUAUUUCUUUCUAGUAUAAGAAUACUUUGAGUGUAGCUAAUAGUGCACAUUUUUCUCAAGAUAAUCUCCGUCAUACCAGUCAGAUCUAGUUUCCUAUUAAGGUAAAAGAUGUUAUUUUCAUACUCAUAAGGAUUGUCAUUAUAUUUCUUAUUAAUCUGUGGGAAUAACCUGUCUACGCGAAUUAAUGCAUGUCUGGUGAAUAACCCUUCGUAUUCAUUCUUUAUUAAAUUGUAGAAAUGAUCUGUCUACGCGUAUAUUCUUUCAUACUCAUAUGGAAUAUCAUUUCUUUUGUACUCAUUAAUGGAUAUCAUUUUCUUUCAUAUUUUCUCCAUUUAUAAUACGAAAUUAUUGUUUGUUUCCAUAAUCUUUUUAUUAAAUGGUGAAAAUCCCUGAAAUUAGUGGAAUAUCCUUAAUAGUUUGCGCUUCAUCUAGUAUCAUUUCACUGGAAUAUUUGUCUGAACUUUCUUAUUAAAUUUUAUUCUAUUCAUGUUGGGGUACUAUUCAUCUAGGGUACUAUUCAUUUGAGUACUAUUCAUCUGAGGUACUAUUCACGACAAAAUUUAGUUUCUAUCAUUGAAAUUUAAAUCUUAAAUAUCAUUUUUGAAUUUUACUCCACAAUUGAUUAUCAUGUCAACAAUUUGGACAUUCUUGAACUCUGGAUAAAUUAAAUUACAAAUCUUUAAUAUUUAUCAUUGAUUUCACUUGAUUCAUUCUCUAUAUCAUUGUCAUCAUCAUCAUUCUUAAAUUUGUGAUGGAAAGUCAUCUUUGGCAUGUAGUGCAUAGAUGGACUAUUGAUUGGUAUGAUUAUGACCAGGAAUUGUGUAUUGGUAUAAUCAUGACCUUUAAUGUUACAGACAAAUCUUUGUGGUGAAAGUCUUAUUUGGCCCGUAGUGCAUAGAUAGACAGGUGUUUGGCAUGAUCAUGACCACCGGUGAUACAAAUGAAUAUCUUUGGCCCGUAGUGCAUGGAUAAUUCGUUGAUCUGAAAUAAUUAUUGAUUAGUGUUACAGUGAUAAAAUAUUGAUGAUGGACUUUUAAAUCAUAGAAGAUAGUAGACAACAUGCUCUACUUGACUCUUCUAGUGGAUUGUUAUUUCCACUACAAUUGUUGAUUUAAAACUUGUUGUCUAUUAUAUUCUAUUAGAUUUUUCACUAUUGAGGACUAAGAAUAAUUUAUUCUUCAUUACCAUAGUCAUAAUAUUCUUUAUUGGGCUAGUUGAGCUCAUCCUUUUCUUCCAUUGUUCUCUUUAGAAAAUGAGAAUAUAAUUGGGACUAGUUAAGGAAUGGAGUGAUGGUCCGAGAUAGUCUAUAGCAGUCUUCAUGAUAGUGUGGAAAUAAUUGUAAUGAGAACUUUAUUUGAGUUUGGAUAUUGUCUACGGACAAUAUUUGUAUUAAAAUUCACAGUGUGUGGUCGUAUUUUGCACAACAGUUGAAUAGUUGUAAAUAGUAAAUUUGUAUUUGAAUUCUGUAGUAUGUAUUUUGGCAACUCAAGAUAGGUUUUGCGAACCUAUUUUAGGGGCAUCAAAAGUAAGAUAUAUCUUGAAGAAGUUCAAGAACCAAAAACCACUAUGGAUAAAAGUCGAAUACCUGACCAAGUGGAAGAAACUACUGUACCACAACCUAUUCGUAAAUCUGGAAGAGUACCGAAGAUAUCUGAGAGGUGUGGAUUCGUCAUAGAGGAUGAUGAUGAAGUACGCAUCAUAGAUGAUGAUCCAUUGACUUCCGAAUAGUCUAUGAGCAGUAAAGACUUAGAGAAAUGGCUAGAAUCCAUGAAAUUCGAGAUGGACAUGUAUGUAUGGACUUUGGUUUCAUCACCUGAGGGCCUAUUAGGUGCAAAUUGGUCUUUAAAUGAAAGACUGAAACGGACGAAAAGUUAGAGACUGGUUGUAAAAGGUUUCAAACAAAGAUAAGGAGUUGACUAUGGUGAAACCUUCUCACCAGUAGCUAUGCUCAAGUCCAAUCGGAUUUUGCUUGCGAUUACAGCUUAUUAUGACUACGAAAUUUACCAAAUAGAUGUGAAAAUGACCUUCCUCAAUGGAAAACUUGAGGAGGAUGUGUAUAUGACAUAGCCAAAGGGUUUUGUUUCAACGGUUGAAAAAAAUCAAGUAUGUAAGCUACAACGAUCCUUUUAUGGAUUGAAGCAAGCUUCUCGAAGGUGGUACAUCCAUUUUGAUGAGACAAUUAAAGAGUUUGAUUUUAUCAAAAAUGAGGAUGAACCAUGUGUGUAAAAGAAGGUUAGUGGGAGUGUUGUUUCAUUCCUAGUAUUAUAUGUUAACGAUAUAUUACUGAUAGAGAAUGAUAUUCCUAUGCUACAAUCGAUCAAAAUCUGGUUAUCUAAACACUUCUCCACGAAGGACUUGGGUGAGGCAUCCUAUAUUUUGGGGAUAAAUAUUUAUAAAGAUAGAUCUAAAAGGAUGUUUGGCUUGUCCCAAGGAAUGUACAUUGACUCGAUGUUAAAGAAGUUUAACAUGAAAGAUUCCAAGAGAGGUCUCAUGCCGAUGAGCCAUGAAAUACAUAUCUCCAAGAAAUAGGCCCUAAAGACACUUGAGGAGAGAGACCAUAUGAGUAAAAUUCUUUAUUCUUCAACAAUAGGAUCUAUCAUGUACGAUAUAAUAUGUACUAGACCAGAUGUCGCGCAUGGAAUUGGUGUAACAAGCAAAUAUCAGUCGAAUCUAGGAGAAGACCACUAGAAGGCAAUGAAAAAUAUCCUAAAGUACUUAAGAAGAACUAAGGAUGUAUUUCUUGUUUACGGUGGGUCUAAAUUAAAACUAGAGGGCUAUACAAACUCAAGUUUUCAAGCAGGUCAAGAUGAUAGUAAAUCUGCUUUGGGGUAUGUGUUUACUUUAAACGGUGGCGUAGUGAGUUGGAAGAGUUCCAAGAAUCAAACAGUUGUUGAUUCAGUGACAGAGGCAAAGUACAUAGUUACAAGUGAAGCUGUAAAGGAGAUUGUUUGGAUGAAGAAGUUAAUAACUGAACUUGGUGUGGUUCCUAGCAUUAGAGGAGUAGUACCUUUAUUCUGUGACAACACCGAAGCUAUUGCACAGGCCAAGGAACCCAGGUCUUAUCAGAAAUCCAAACAUGUGUUGGGACGGUUUCAUUUGAUUAGAAAGAUCAUUGAAAGAAGAGACGUCAUCCUGGAGCGUAUGGACUCUCAAGACAAUAUUGUAGAUCCAUUUACUAAAGUUUUAACACAACAAUAGUUUGAUCGUCACUUAGAGAAUAUGGGUAUGAGAUACCAUGGCGAUUGGCUUUAGUGCAAGUGGGAGAUUAAAAGUAGUAUGCACACAAGCCAAUCAUAUUUGAUAUAAUGAAGCAUAUACUUUGUAAUAAUCUUAUUCAUUUAUUAAUAAAAGAAUUCAUUUAUUAAAGGUUUCUACUUUAUAUACAUAGUAUAGUUAUAUUAAAUGUGAUAAAUCCAUAGUUUUAAGCAGUGUUUUUAUAAUCAUGAUGAUGAUCAUGCUAAUGAGAUCUAAAUUCUUAGAUAGCUUAAAACUAUAAUAGUUCCCAAUCAUUGGAUUACUAAAAAGGGAAUUAGUGAAUUCGGAUAGAUUGGUACAUGCGUUGCUUGCUCUUAGGAAGAGAAUAAUUAAUCUCAUAAUUAUUUGUGUGGAGACACUAAAGCAAGUAUGUAUAGGCUUAUUGGAGAAUAAGUUCACUAAACGUGGCUCGCUAAGGAAUACCUAAUAGAGUUUUACUCGUCUAUCAAUAGAAAAUCUUCUAGUGAUAGUAGUAUAAGUGAUCCUUAGACUUGAGAUCAUCAUAGUAUCUUGUGUAUGAUGAGUUAUACUUUGACAUGUCCUUUAAGACCCUUGAGGUAUAUCAAAGGGUAUGCUUAGGUAUAAUAAAUUAUAUAAUAGGAGAUAAUGAAUGAUCGAUAAAGAAUCUACCGCUUCUAGUAAAAGGAGAGAAUGUCCUAUGUGAUUCGAUAAAUGACAACUGAGGAAUCAUUGGCCAAGGUAAAAUGAAAUUAGAAAGGAGUUUCUAAUUUGCAUUAUUUAGAGUUGUGCAUUUGAGAAUUGAAAUACAUAUAAUUAAAUAAAAUAAGACUUGAUAGUAAUUUCAUGUCAUAUAUUUAAUUGGGACAUUGUAUGGUAGAAAGAUUGAAUUGUACGGUAACUAUUUACUCAAAGGUUCUUUUAUGAUUAAUGUUAAAAUCUAUAUUAUAUGAAAAGUCGUUGAUCACUAAGAGGGUUUACCCUUAUUGUAGAAUAAAUGCUAUUUAUUUAAAUAAAUUAAAUAGAUUAAUUUAUUUAUUUAUUUAAAUAAGAUUACAAUUGUUCUAAUUGAUUUAUUCACAACCAGUUUAAUAUAGUCAACCUAAAUGGUCAUACCAUAAAAGAAAAAUAUUUAUUAAAGAAGUAAAUGGCAUAAUCGUAAUAAUAAGUUAAGUGUAUUUAAUUUAAUCUAUGGUGAUAGAAUAAAUUAAAUAAGCUUAAUAUUUAUUAUUAAAUAUUUUGAAGAUAUUAAAUAUAAAUUAAUAAGAAGAGUUUUAUUAUUAUUAUUACUGUUAUUAUUUAAUUCCUAAAAGGAUUUGAGAAUUAAUUAAUAUGCGUACUCUCAUUAAUUCCUAAUUGGAUUAGGAAUACAAUUAAGUAAAAAAGUUUAAUUAAUUAAAAUAGAACCAUAUUCCUAAAUUGUUUAGGAGAGUUGCCUACAUAUAUAAAUAAGAAGAGUCUUAUUAUGAUUAAGGUUUACUAACAAUUAUAAGAGUUGGGAGAGUACAUAUAAUUUCUAUAGAGAUAGAAAUUAGGAUUUUAGCCAAACACUCAUCUUCUUGAAUACUUAUUCUUCCUUGGUGAGUCACUUCUAGAGGCCAAAUGCUUGUGUGGCUAACAUUGAUCAAAGAAAUGAAUCUAACCUGGUGAAUUCAAGGUUCCACAAGGGUAUAAUCAUGGUGAUGGUUUGUAUUAAAAUUUUAAAAUCUAUUUUAUCACGCUUCCACUACUUUUAUGUGAUUUGAUUACAUGAUCGCGCUAUAUUUAAACCUAACAAGUAAAGCCUAUAAAUAAGGAUCGUCAUGGUGGAAACUCAACCUAGGUUCAAAGAGACCACUAAAUUGUAAACGAUUCAAUCAAAUCACUAUGAAGAAAUUAAUUUUCUGUGCUCAUUCCUACGAUACGAGAUAGUGAUACCUACAACGAUUUUAGGAUAAACUGUGCUUUUAAUGAUUAUUAUAUAUUGAUAAACAAGUUGGGUACGACAACAUGCUCUUAUUAAGAACCACCUAUGUGAGUGUAAACUAGGUCAAUUCUAUGAGAAUGAUAUGACUAUACUUCUCUAGAUUACUCAUAAAUCUGGGAAUGUUCAGGGCCAAAAUGAACAAAAUCAUGAGAACCAAAUUAUGUUUGGAAGGAUUCUGUGUGAAUUUCUAUUAUCUCGAUUUACACAAACGGUCGAAUAGUUCAAGACAUCACGUUCAUUAAACAACCCAUAAACCCGAUAGUCUUUCACAAGAGAAUGUUCAAAACCAGAAGCCACCUAUUUCUAUACAGAUGAUUUUCAAUUUUGUCUCUCUCAGAGUCUGCAAAAUAUUUGUAUAAGGCUGACAGUCAAUUUCAUUCAUAUGGGGGAUUAUGUUGCUUGUGACUUAUUCUUUUUUAAUGAUUAUGUUGACUGAUUACAAAAAAUAAAAUACAUAACUUAUAUGGGUUAAAAAGCUAGUUAGUAUUUAUUUUUCUUAGGGCCUGAUUGACCAUUCAAUGAAAUUUCCCCGUGAUGAAGAAUUUGUCUUCCUAGUAUAUCAAGAAAAAUAAUCAAAUUUUUUUUUAUAUUUAUUUUUUGAUGGUUUGUUUUUCUGCUUAUAUCAUGAGAGUUUACAAUUCAAUUUUUUUUUCAUUUUUAAGAAAAAAUAUAAAACAAAGAUGGCAAAAAAAGGAGGUGAGGGCUACCUCGUGCUCUUGUGUGAGGUAGUCCUUAAAAUGAUAUCAUUUUGUAUACUUGAAUACACUCCUUCCCAUAUUAUGUAUAAAAAGAUAUUUUUCUACUUUUUUAAAAUAUUGUUAUUAUAAAGUGGUAUAUCAUGCAAGAGUGUGAGGUAACUCCUCUCCCUUGUCCUCGAGAAAGAUAUAUUCUUAACAUCUAUAAAUGUUACAAAUAACACUCUUUUAUGAAAAUCGAUAGAGUACAAUGUUAUUUGAUUUUAAAAAUAAAUAAAUAAAUAAAAUUUUAAACCAAUAUACCGACACCAGACAUUGCCAUGUAAAAUAGGUUUGGAUUUAAGGAAUAAAAUUAAGAUAGGAAUGGAUGGAGAAGGUAAUGAAAUUGAAUGAGUCAUUCCACAAUUCCCUAAUAAAUGAAAAUUAUCAAUUCGACAGAAAUAAAAAAAAAAUCCUUCUAUUCUAAUGCAACAAUCAUAUACGGUCUUUUUAAAAUGAGACGUUCUAUUCCUUUUUAAUUCCUACUAUCCAAAUGUAGCGAGGAUCUCUUAUUCAAAAUCUUGACUUUAUUCCCGAGAACUCAAACUCAAACACAAAGGAGCAUUCAACAAUCCAAAAAUUUCCCAAAGGUUGACUUUGCUCAAAUUUUGUUUAAAAUUCAGCAAAAUACCUUUCAAUUUUAGUACACCAACAAAUAACAGCACCAAAGCAUCACACAGCCUUUCUCCAACAUUAAGCAUUUCAAGAAAAGCAGUGCUAAUCUAUGAGGCGAGGCUGUUGUUGUAUUAGAUUUUGUUAUUGAGUUUUAAAAGAAACGAAAUAAACAGAAAACUCAAAAUUUCUACCUAAUUAUGUUGUUAUAGAGUUUUUAAUGAAUAAAAUUGAAAAGAAAUGAAUGGAAAUUUGCUUAUUUUUUUUGCCAAAAUUUUCCAAUUGGACCGAUUUGGACUAAAACUAAAUGGUCAAAUGGCAUUUUGAAAGUUAAACUUAAAUGUUAUUUUCUUUUACUUCAUAAACUCGAUAACAAUACGGAAAAAAAAAAAAAAAAAGUUUUCUAUUUUUUUUUCUCAUGAAAUUUAAAUUUUCUUUACUUUUGUUUUCUGUUAAAAACUCAGAAACAUGGUGCAAGUAAACACUAAACUACUUGAACACUUGAUACUUGAAAGCAAACUAGCAUCUAUAUUACUCUUUCUAUAUAGGUCACAAUGUCAUUACACAAUACACAGCUAUGCUUCAUAAAUCUGUUUUUUAAGUUUGAUAUUCACAGGCCUUCUGGAGAAGCUACUACAUAACCAUUAACAGAACCUCCGUUUAACACAUCCAACUAUAAGUAUACUACCGUCUUUUCCCGAAACUCUACUCUCAUCGCCAGCUUGGCAGCUUGUUUCUGCACGAGAAGCUUGUAUAAAUCCAAUUGUAAAAUGUUUGCCUCGAAAGUAGUGUGCAUGUAAGUGUGUGUGCAUGCGCACAUCCACGAAACUAUGAGAGUAUGUUUGGGUGUUUAAAAAAUAUGACUUGUUGAUUCUAAUUACUACUUUUACUUAUAAUCAGUUUUUAAAAAGUAGUUUGUAUUUCGUAAAUAUAAAACAGUUACACUAGUAAAAAAGUCAAAAAGUGUUGAAUAUAAAUAUUUUUGCUAAACACUUAAAUGAGAAUUACCAAAAAGGAAUUUUGAGAAGUAGGGAUGGGCAAUGGAUGGAAUUACUAAAAUAAAUAUGGAUACAUUAAUAAUAUAUUUGGUAUUAUUAGAUUUGACAAAUAAUCAGAAGCUCCAAACUGAAACUUCUGAUUAUUUCCAUAAAAAAUGAUUAUAAAUAUUUUUGAAAAUCAGGUUAUCAAACGCUUUCUACUUCUUAAAACCUAUUAUAAGCAGUCAAAUAUGGUUAGGACCAAACUAUUUAAUACCCUAUAUAUGGAAAUAUAUAUGUUGCACGAACAACACUGAUUUUAAAGGCCACGUAACGUUCCUUAAAAAAUGCUUUGUAUAUUGAUAAAGUAAUAGGCACGCCGCCAUACCUUUGUUCCCUUCGAGCAUGUGUCAGAUCACCAGACUGCCAUGGUACAAUCUGCAAUUCAGAGAUGUAUUUAUUAAUAGUGAUCCAAAGAACCAAAGUAACAUCACUUUCUAAAUGUAACCUCGUACUUGGAAAUAAAAUGGACAAAAUAUCUCUGAAAACAUCGAGGCAAAAUGGAACCCGUAUCGGUGAAAUAAGAUUUCAUAUUUUAUAUAUAAGUAUAGUUUAUAUUUCCCAAGGUUCCAAGAAAACCACUACACAUCAAAUUAAAGUUGGGAAUUGACAUCACCUUUUUAUGCUCCACUUUGGGAUUCUUAUUCUCCAGUUUGGGAUUUGUAGCCAUGUUAGCAGUGGAUGGAGUAGAUGAAGCAGCAGUUGGAACUCUUCCAGAAGCUGCAUGGGUUUCCUGUUUGUAUACUUGUGUAAAUGAAUUAUAUGGGCAUUUGUAACAAGAAGGGGAAAAAGAAACAAAUAAAUAAACAAGCAAAAAUCAAAUUUCCUAGUAAAUAUUGAAUACAUAAUUAAUUUCGGAGUAAACGGUUGAUAAGAAAAUCAUAUGUCCCAAGAAGUUGACGCGCAAAAUUAAUACAAUCCUCAUAUCAUAUGGAGGCAAUAAUUGGAGUACAUUCCAGAGUAGGAUGAUUGAGAAUAUCAUCAUAUGAAAGUUUAGUUUCCUAAGCAGACAAACUCUCAAAGCCGGAUCACUUAAUGGUCUAGUACCGUUAUGCUUUGAUCACUAAAUGGUCUAGUACUUAUAUUCUAGCUUCAACAAGAAGACCACUACUAUAGAACUAAAGUAAUUUAAAAGAGAAUGAAAGAAGAAAUAAUAGAACUUUGCUCUCACUUCUGCAAGAACACUUUUUGGUCUCUUUCUCAUUCACCGAUGAAGCCUUUUUAGGCAAGUAAAGGAGACAUAUACCACAUUAUAAUAUAAGCCUUCAAGUAAGGCUUUAUAACCAUUAGGCCAAUGACCUGUGCUUGAUAGUCAUUGAGUUAGGUAAAUCACAUAUAUAUUAAUUUCAACACGUGUUUUUAUUAUGAAAACACAAAGUGAAUUUACCAUUGUUGUAUAUGUGGAUCUUGUACAUACUCUUGAAGAACUCACAAGAAUUGCUACUUAUUUAAAGGAUGUUUGAAAUAAAAGAUCUUGGAAAGACAAAAUUGUAUGGGAAUACAAGUGGAGCACUUGGCAUCUGAAAUUUUUGUUUAUCAAUUCUCAUCUACUGAAAAGAUUCGUCGUUUUCUUAUGAAAAAAGCUCACCCUUUGACCACCCAGAUAGUUGUUCGUUCUCUCAAAGUUGGUCUUUGGACCUGAAGUUCUAUACCUAAGUGCAAUAGCUCACCCUUUUGUUGUUAACUUACUGACAAUAUACAACUCUUCUCCGACUAAAGAGGCAUUAGUAUAGGAUCAAGAACAUAUUAAGAUACCUCCGUGGAAGUAUAGAUCUUGAUUUAUUUUAUCCAAGAGAUACAAUGUCACGAUUAAUUGGAUAUGCUGAUACAGGAUAUUUAUCAGAUCUACAUAAUGGGAGAUCACAUAUAUGUUAUGUAUUUACAUAUUGUGACGUGACUAUAUCUUGGAAAUCUACAAAGGAAAUCAUGACAGUCACAUCUUCCCAUCACUAAGAGAUUCUCGAAAUAUAUGAAGCAAGUAGAGAGUGUGUUUGGUUGAGAUCAAUUAUCCAGUAUAUCUAGGGAUCAUGCAGACUACUAUCUAUCUCCUACAAUUAUGUAUGAGGAUAACGUUGUACGCAUCGCCCAACUUAAAGGAGGAUAUAUCAAAGGGAGAUAGAACAAAACACAUUUUACCUAAAUUUUUUCACACGUGAACUUCAAAAGAAGGGUGAUAUAGAUGUGCGUCAAAUUUGGUCAUGUGAUAAUCUAGUCGACUUAUUCAUAAAGUCAUUACACUUCAAAAUAAAUUGUAAUGCAUCAACUCAUAAUUGUGACAACAUUGCAUCAAGAAAUAAUGAAUUCCUUUUGAGGGGAAAAUUGUACUCUUUUUCCUUCGUUUUCUCAAAUUUAAAGGGAAAAAUAUGGCAUAGCAGAGAGUGUACCACAUACUAUAAAAUGCCAUAUUUUAAUAGUUUAAUACCCUUGAUAGAUAGGUAAAAUAUGGCAUAGCACAUAGUAUGUGACAUACUAUAAAAUAUGCUAGGUCAAUGUUAACUAUUAAAAGUUGGAAUACUUUUUAGGCAUUUCUUAUAGGCUUAAAUAUAAAUAACUACCCUAAACUAUUAACCUUUUUUCUACUUCGGUGAUCAAUCUUUCAAUUUUUUUAAUCAGGUCAUUAAACUAUCAAUUUUUUUUCACUUUUGUUCAAUUGAACCUGCCACGACAUAAAUUGAUAAUGCGACCCCGCUGACUAGGCUAAUCAAUGUCUACGUGUAAUUAAAAAUUAGGCUUAAAUAUAAAUUACUACCCUGAACUAUUGACAUUUUUUCUACUUUGAUGAUCGAUCUUUUAAUUUUUUCCACUUUAGUUCAAUUAAAGUUAAAGAAUGGUGGGUUCACAGAAAUGAUGAGUUAUUUACUUUUUAAUUACUAGUUUUUAAUUGGUUUUCUCCAUAAACUAAGAGCUCAAAUACAUGGAAAGUGAUUAUGUGUAAAUUAUGUUCAAAUAAUUUAAUACCAUUUUUUAUUUUGUGAAAAGAAAUAGUUAAUGAUAGUUGUAAGUAUCUAAUAAUUAGUUACAGAUGGUUUUUUUCCCUUCUGUUUGUUUGAAAAUUUAGGUGUUAAUGAUAGUGAUAAAUAAUAUUUUUCAUAAUUAUUACUAAGUUCUUUUUUUUCGAAUAAAAAAGAACCUCUUAAAUAGAUGUUUCAUUUUAAAAUUAUUUUUAGUUUUUGUUGUUAAAUUGUAAUAUAAUAUUACAUUUAUGCCUAUUUCUUUUUUAUAAAAUGAUAUAAACUAAUUAUAAAAUGAGUAUUGUUUUAAUACAUCAUCAGUCACAUCAUAGGUGUUAAAGUCACGUCAUCAAUUUAUGACGUGACAACUUCAAUUGAACCAAAGUAGAAAAAAUUUAUAGUUUAAUCACCUAAUUGAAAAUUUUGAAAGAUCGAUCACCAAAGUGAAAAAAGAUCAAUAGUAAUUUAUAUUUAAGCCUAGUUUUUAAUUUCACGUAGACAUUGAUUAGUCUAGUAAACGAGGUCACAUCAUCAAUUUAUGACGUGACAACUUCAAUUGAACGAAAAUAAAAAAAUUGAUAGUUUAAUGACCUGAUUAAAAAAAUUGAAAGGCUCAUCACCAAAGUAAAAAAAAGUUGAUAGCUUAGGAUAGUUAUUUAUAUUUAAGUCUUUCCUAACAACCUUUUUGUUUUUAUUUUUCUGCAUUUUUGUUAUGUGGAUAUUUAGCAACAUGGAUCUUUUUAGAUGACUGGUCUUCACAUCAAAACUAAACAUUUUCCACUUUAGCAUGUAGAAACACUGAAUAUCAAGAUUAUAGGUCCAGGUAUCAACAGGUAUCUUAGUAUCGAUUAAAUGUUUAAUCGGGCUUGAAUGCUUUAACAUCAGCCUAUUCACUCCCCACCCCAGCCCCCACAAACACACCCUAGCCUACCCCAACAAAAGAGAUGACAUACUUAAAUGAACACUUAUAACCUAGACGACUAAUCACGUAUCAGCAAGCAAACAUAUCUUGUCAGACCCGGUUAUCUUUGAAUCUCAUAAUUCUGCAAAUAUUAGCAAACUAAAUGCUGCAUUUCAAGUGUGAUAAAAAAAAAUUCACAAUAGUAAAAUGAAGUUUCUUCAUUCCCAAAAGUAUAUUUGAUUUGUAUCAGUUAUUAACAAUAUACCAGAGAAUACGAUAGUACAUUGCCCCUAAACUUUAUAUGUGAAACAAAUUAAAUUCCAAAUCUCAUUUUGGUUACUUAAACUUGUAUAAACCAUCUCUUAAGUAUGUAAUCAACACAAUUAUAAUGAGUUUGAACCAAAAUGGUGUCUCUUUAAUGAAAUCGUCAAUAUGGCCAUAAGUAUUAGCUUCAGAAGACAACAGAAAUAGAAAGAAAAAGCUCUGGUUAGAUCUUUUUACUCAUGCUAAUCAAUCAAAGCGACCUAAAUAACUAGUAAUAGAAUCUUAGGAUAUUGUAAUCCCACAUGAUUUAAGCAGAAGUCUCUAGAGUAUAGGCUAGCUAUCGUCAGAACAUACAACAGAAUGAGAAAUAAUAACUCCUGCAGCAAAACACUAAAGAGAACCUACCUUUAUCUGUUUUUCUGCUCUAACAUAAUCCCUCAGCCCAAACUUAUUGCAAAGGCUCUGAUUUGGUUUAGUCUGAGCAGGACGGUUUAUAGACCUGAACAACAAAAAAUGAAGAUUUAGUAUGUUUUCAGAAUCAACAAAAUUCAUAUAGCAAAACACAAAGUUCUAAAACAUCAUAAAUUAUGUGUUCGCAAUUAAGAUCUAUGCAUUCUACAUGCAUUACAUGAUUUUUGGUUUCGGAUUCUCAGUUUGCCCUCUGUUUGGUGUCAUAAAGUAGCUACUUGACUCCAAAGACUUUCCACCAAUCCCAGCAGAGGGCCUGCAAAAAUUCAGAAUAAUACUUAUAAAGAAUUCUCUAAAACUAUAUAAUAUUGACAUUUUUCGCAUGACACUAACCUUUUCCCUACCACAUUAUUAACACCAUUAGCAACGUUUAUAUGCCUUGAAGUACUCUGCACAUACAUAAAGCAUGAGGAAAUGUUAAUAUUGGUCACACACCUGAUAGUGUAUCUAAAUAGAUAUGGAAUCCUCAAUUUUACCUUGCUCAUGAGGCCUAAUUUUGAAUUUGCUUUUGCCAGACUAUCUUUGGUACUUGAAGAAGUUGCUGGCAUAUGUUUUGAUACUGAAUUGUACGAAAUGCUAGUACUUGACUGUAAUUUAGUAGGCUUUCUAUGUGAUGAAAAGUUCUCAUACUUCACAUUUCUUCCAGGCAUAGGAGUAGUUCUUUCGCUCAAAACAAGACUCUUAUUGGCCUUGCCACUUGUAUCCUCAUCAAGAAAUUGUUUCCCCUUCUCAGAUGGCUUAGUAACGUCUUUCCUUGUUCUAUUGUUCAUCUUUGUUUUGUCUCUAGCUGAAGGAACAGGCCCCUUGAUUUUUUUGGGUAAAAAGUAAAAUUUGAAUACUUAGUUUACAACAUAAUUCAUUAUGCUCAAGUGAAAUGGGAAUCUAAAACCUGACCAUAUACACGGAAGAAUACACAAGAUGCCAAUGACUCGAUGAAACAGCAGAUUCCUUCAGUACAAACAACAAAUGCUUGCAGUUUAAGAGCUAUGAGCCUAUGACAAGUUCAUAUGAUUGAAAUAUCUGUUCGACUGAUGUUCUAGCUGUAUAUCCUAAUUUUCUUAAAAAGUUUGUCAGUCUCCCCUACAAUUUAAUUGAAACCAGACAAUAAAGAGAGUUCCACUUGAGAGUUUUCAUGUUAAUAGUAUUAUAAUAAGAAAAUUAUUAGUGAUGUAAAUCAUACUAUUGCUGAAUAAUGUUAUAUAACAAUGAUUUCACGUAGAGAAUAUUAAUUUCCUCCUAUCACCGGGAAAACAAUUAGUCAUGGGCAGAAUGUUAGAAAAAUAUGUGGGUUGUGUUUUUUCCCUCUAGGGCUCUAUUAAAUAAUAAACGAAGACACUUGACUGUUUACCUUGGUUUUAGAAAGAGGAGUGUGAUCCUUCAGCUUGUUAGCAUUUAGCUUAACUAUGAUAGAGACUGUAGUGUCGGGCUGGGAGGAAUUCGAACACGUUUUGACUGAUGAAUCAGGUGCCAAGGCAGCCUUUUCUGAAAAACUUUCAUGUUCUGCUGCAGCCAAAGUAAUGUUAAUUUGAUCCCUCGUGAUAUCUUUGUUGUUAUGGUUCUCUUUCUGUUUCUCAGUGACUAAUGACUUGUCCUCGGCAGUUUCCCC